GAAAAAGUUCUCAGUAUAAUUAUCAGGAAGACUGUACAUAUUAAAACUGACUAGUUAAAGAUUCAUACAGAGACUCAACAACAAAGAAAACAGAGCAAUUCAUUCUAAGAUACCAGACAGUGUGACAGUGUUAGGCUUUCAUCUUUACUACGCUCUUAUUAGCUUGCAGCAGCACCCUGGUCAAGAAUCACUGCUCUAAACACUACCGUGUAAAAGGCAGGGGUGGCCACACAACAAGUCAACCCAUGUUUUUUUGACAGCCAUGAGCACUGUUUUGUGCUGAACUCCAUACCAUAAACAAGCUCUAAAUGGCCACAUCCAGACAAGUGCGGCCAUGCGGUAUGUGGCACGCAAACGCGUCUGUGGUACCACGUACCACACGUUCAGUUGUUCUCCACACUGCAAGGGAGCAGCACGGAGAGCUUUUUGACCCUUGGACAUCCAAGAGUCAAAAAUACUGCAGGAAAAAAAAAACAACGGUGCAUGCAGUGGAAGUGUGCCCUGCCCAAAGCCGGAGCCACACUGCAGCCGGCCAGACUCCACAAGGCAGGAUCACCGUUGCUGCAGCCCCAGAAGGCCCCCAGGUAAGGUUGCUGGGGCCAGCCCAGUGCUGGUCCUAGCUUCCCCUACCCCACCUGGGGUAAGCUGCCACAUGCCAGAGCGCGUGUGGCACAGGUUUUCCCCAGGGACAACUAGUAGUGGCACAAGUUGCACCACCACUAGUUGUCCCUAAAGAACCAAACAUCCAUGCACAUCUGGACGCAGCCAGCAUGUUUACUGGACUGGGCCACACAGGUACUUGGGUGCUGUUUGGUUUAGGUUCGGGAUCCCAGUGGCAUCUACAUAGGAAGUAGGUAGGUACCUAGCUGGUCAGACACUGGCACCUCUGGGCAUCAACAGAAGUAGAAAUGCAGAUGUUUAGUGUUCUUUCAGGUCAAACAGGGAGGUGCCUAAUUAAUUCAGGCACCUCCAAGGUUGAGCAGCCACUUGAACAAAUUUUUCUGGAUUGAAGUUUUGAGCUGAAAGUCCUACCUAUGUCUUGUUUUUUGUGUGAAGCUUUUCUCUCUCUCUCUCCUCCCCCUCCCCCAAAUCCUCUUUUUUAUCUGGCCCUAAAUGAAGAAGUAUUUUGGUGCAAGAUAAAUUGUGAGGUGAUUACAAAGUAAAAUUGAGAAACAUGAAGGGCAAUAGGAAGGCCAGGAAUGUCGUCAAAAAAUAGAAAUCAACUUGGAACGCUGAACUAGCCUGAGAAGCAGCCCUGAGGUUGCAAGCUUAAGGCCACAGCAGAAGCGCUUAUGCUGCGCCCCUAUCAGAUUCCAACAAACCUGCGAAUUCUGCUAAAUAUAUUGUCACACAAGGACACGAAAAAGGAAGAGGAAGAGUGGAAAAGAACAGUAACCGAAAGUGGCUGCAAAGAGCUUGUAGUUUGCUGUACAGUGUGCUGAAAGCAAGUAUGAAGACUGCCCAGAUAUCUGAGGAGCAAAGCGCUGCUUAAAGAAGAAAAGACCCAAAAGAGAUGACUUGGGGACGUGGAUAAGUAAAACAAAUUUUGGUUGGAGGUAUAUAAGCAGGCACAGGGAGUCCAGUCCUUCUAAAUUAUAGUGGACAAUAAUCCUGAUUAAUUCUGAUUUACUGAAAAAGAGAGAGGCUUCCUGGCAGACUGCAUGUGAAAAAGGAAAUUAGGAGUUAUCCUUUUUCAACACUGGGUGAACUGAAAGCCACUAGAGGAUGCAGAGUAUAUACUUCUCCUUUUUGGAAAAAUGUCUCUGUAUAUAGGAACUAUGUAAAGGUACCCGGACAUGAAACCUUAAAGUCCAGGUCCGCUGGGUACUGCCAAAUAUACAGCCUAAGGUAUUCCUGGUAAUGGGGCAUAUCCUGUUGUUGAGCUCCAGUCUGGUCCACUGAUGUUACCCAAUCAGAUCAGCUCUGCUCACACCUGCAUAAUGCUGGCAUGUUGGAUCUCCUCCCAGUGAAGUCUUUACAGGGGAGGAGUGCCUUUUUCUUCCCCAGUACUUCUAUGGGGCAGCCAGAAAGAAGGCCAUCUUAUACAAGGAUCAGAACAGACAGAGAAAUUGGGACUACGUUCUUAACCAUAGAGGCCUUAAGGAGUGAAACACAGUUGACAGGAGAGAGAAAGCAAAGCUGGGCAGUUUCCAUCCUCACCUUUGUCACCUGGAUCACGUGGGAAGGCUUGCAGUGCUGUGAUCUCUGCUGUGUAGCUGUAGUCUCAAAAACUGCUAUUUCAGCAUCUUUUUGUAAGCACUGAAUUCACUCAAAUGAAUGUAUCAAUAACAUUAAAGAGCACGGUUUGAAAGUAAACAAUUAAUUUAUCUUACACUGCACCGAAAAUAAUGAUGUUCAGCCUUGACAUUUUGAAUAAAAAAUGGUUAAAAGGCCAUUGCUUAAUGGUUGAAAGGGCACUGUCAGGUGCGACAAAUGGGGUCUGUUUUCUUCUUACAACUGUGUAAAUCCAGAGUAAUUUCACUACAAUUAAUAGAGUUACCCCAGUAUAAGCAAAAGGAGAAUCAGAUCUCAUUAUAUAUAACUGGUAACAUUGAAUAAAUCCUGCUCUCACUUGAACCAAUAUAAAGUUGGCGUAACUACAUUCAGUGAAUUUUGCCUGAAUUUACACAGAUGUAAUGGGAACACAGCUUGCCCCUUUAUCUUUCAAAGGUUUGUUGCAUAGUAUUUUAAGAUUUAUCAGUAUUUUAAAUAUAGCAGCCAUGCUUAACAGAUCCAUUUUUCUUGUUUGCAUUCUCAUCCCAUCAAUUUGUAGGACAUCUGAUCCUCUUGUUUUACCACUGUAGCAUAAUGUACAGUUUUGUAUUACUACUUGACAGAGUAGUAUUAUGUUUCCUUAGGUACAUUAUUUACAAUGUAUAAAAAAGUGACGUUAGUGAUGUUAAAACAGAACCAAAAAUUUUGCUUACAAAUAUUAUAUUGGGCGGGGGGGACCCUACCUGUGCUGUUUAUGACUCUGGAUAUGUAGCAUGUAGCUUUGGUAAUGCGGACAUUUUGAAAAAUUAAGUACAGUAAUUAAUCUCUGUACAUUUUCAUUCAACGAAGGUCUUUUUUAUCUUGUUAAUGAGUUUGUUAGUUUGGGUUCUCAGUAUCAUGAAUUUUGAAUCUUCUGCAAAUAGAUAUAACAUGUACCUAAUAGAUUUUUGUAACAAUUCUCAAUGCUUGUUCUGUACGAAGUCAGUCAUUUAAACUUCAGUUUUAGGUUCCUAUUCAUUACUGUAUAGUAUUCAGUACCAAUAAAUGAGUUUUCCUGGUCUGUUUACCUCCAUGGAGAACGAUUUCUUUAAGUGGUUUCUUAACCAUUCCGUACAGAUCCAUGCGAGGUCUCUUUUUCUGUAAAUGAUACUGAUGCUUACAUGGGCAUUGUCAAAUUUGAUUUACCUUCAGAUGUUUAGAAAUGGAAUGUGUAGAAUCAAAACAUUAAAGACUAAUUGUCUAAUCUUGG